rnacentral:rRNA from 1 species
GUGCCAGCAGCCGCGGUAAUACAGAGGAGCCAAGCGUUGUCCGGAUUGACUGGGCGUAAAGCGCACGCAGGCGGUCGCGCGCGUGGGGUGUGAAAUCUGGCCGCUUAACGGCCAGGCGCCAUCCCAUACGGCGCGACUGGAGGGCUGCAGAGGUCGAUGGAAUUGCCGGUGUAGUGGUGAAAUGCGUAGAGAUCGGCAGGAACACCCAGGGGGAAACCAGUCGACUGGGCAGCACCUGACGCUGAGGUGCGAGAGCGUGGGGAGCGAACCGGAUUAGAUACCCCCGUAGUCC